UACUGGCGGGAGUUUACAGGUGGGUACAGAGAUUGGUGGGAGUUUACAGGCGAGUACAGAGAUUGACGGGAUUUUGCUGGUGGGAGUUUACAGGCGGGUACAGCGAUUGGUGGGAGUUUACAGGCGGGAGUUUACAGGCGAGUACAUAGAUUGAUGGGACUUUACUGGCGGGAGUUUACAGGCAAGUACAGAGACAGGCGGGAGUUUACAGGUGGGAGUUUACAGGCAAGUACAGAGACAGGCGGGAGUUUACAGGUGGGAGUUUACAGGCGGGUACAGAGAUUGGUGGGAGUUUAAAGGUGGGAGUUUACAGGCGAGUACAUAGAUUGAUGGGACUUUACUGGCGGGAGUUUACAGGCAAGUACAGAGACAGGCGGGAGUUUACAGGUGGGAGUUUACAGGUGGGAGUUUACAGGCAAGUACAGAGACAGGCGGGAGUUUACAGGUGGGAGCUUACAGGCGAGUACAGAGACAGGCGGAAGUUUACUGGCGGGAGUUUACAGGCGAGUACAGAGACAGGCGGGAGUUUACAGGCGGGAGUUUACAGGCGCGAGUUUACAGGCGAGUACAGAGACAGGCAGGAGUUUACAGGCAAGUACAGAGACAGGCGGGAGUUUACAGGCGGGAGGUUACAGGUGGGAGUUUACAGGCGAGGGUUUACAUGGGAGUACAGAGACAGGCGGGAGUUUACAGGUGCGAGUUUACAGGUGGGAGUUUACAGGCGAGUACAGAGACAGGCGGAAGUUUACUGGCGGGAGUUUACAGGCAAGUACAGAGACAGGCGGGAGUUUACAGGUGGGAGUUUACAGGCGAGUACAUAGAUUGAUGGGACUUUACUGGCGGGAGUUUACAGGCAAGUACAGAGACAGAGUUUACAGGUGGGAGUUUACAGGCGAGUACAGAGACAGGCGGGAGUUUACAGGCGCGAGUUUACAGGCGAGUACAGAGACAGGCGGGAGUUUACAGGUGGGAGCUUACAGGCGAGUACAGAGACAGGCGGAAGUUUACUGGCGGGAGUUUACAGGCGAGUACAGAGACAGGCGGGAGUUUACAGGCGCGAGUUUACAGGCGCGAGUUUACAGGCGCGAGUUUACAGGCGAGUACAGAGACAGGCGGGAGUUUACUGGCGGGAGUUUACAGGCAAGUACAGAGACAGGCCGGAGUUUACAGGCGGGAGGUUACAGGUGGGAGUUUACAGGCGAGGGUUUACAGGGGAGUACAGAGACAGGCGGGAGUUUACAGGCAAGUACAGAGACAGGCGGGAGUUUACAGGCGGGAGGUUACAGGUGGGAGUUUACAGGCGAGGGUUUACAGGGGAGUACAGAGACAGGCGGGAGUUUACAGGCGCGAGUUUACAGGUGGGAGUUUACAGGCGGGGGUUUACAGGGGAGUACAGAGACAGGCAGGAGUUUACUGGCGGGAGUUUACAGGUGGGAGUUUACUGGCGGGAGUUUACAGGCGCGAGUUUACAGGAAUGAGUUUACAGGCGCGAGUUUACAGGCGAGUACAGAGACAGGCGGGAGUUUACAGGCGGGAGUUUACAGGCGCGAGUUUACAGGUGAGUACAGAGACAGACGGGAGUUUACUGGUGGGAGUUUACAGGCGGGAGUACAGAGAUUGACUGGACUUUACUGGCGGGAAUUUACAGGCAAGUACAGAGACAGAGUUUACUGGCGGGAGUUUACAGGUGGGAGUUUACAGGCGGGGCUUUACAGGGGAGUACAGAGAUUGACUGGACUUUACUGGUGGGAGUUUACAGGCAAGUACAGAGACAGAGUUUACUGGUGGGAGUUUACAGGCGGGGGUUUACAGGUGGGAGUUUACAGGCAAGUACAGAGACAGGAAGGCAUUUACAAAGACAGGUGAGAGGCUUGUGUAGCCAUGACAUUAUCAGCACACCAUUCCCAGAAAUGAUCUCACCAUGCAUUGACUCAGGAGGACAAAGCUUAUCAUGAAAAAACACCCUGCAUUUAAAAUGUUAUCUUUUCAGCAUUUAAGAAAGUGUAAUUAAAGUGUAAUGCUAAG
ensembl:lncRNA